GACGAACGCUGGCGGCGUGCCUAAUACAUGCAAGUCGAGCGAACAGACGAGGUGCUUGCACCUCAGACGUUAGCGGCGAACGGGUGAGUAACACGUAAGGAACCUACCUAUAAGCGGGGGAUAACAUUCGGAAACGGGUGCUAAUACCGCAUAGUAAACUAGAUCACAUGAUCCAGUUUGGAAAGACGGCUUCGGCUGUCACUUAUAGAUGGCCUUGCGGUGUAUUAGCUAGUUGGUGGGGUAAUGGCCUACCAAGGCAAUGAUACAUAGCCGACCUGAGAGGGUGAUCGGCCACAUUGGGACUGAGACACGGCCCAAACUCCUACGGGAGGCUG
rnacentral:rRNA from 1 species